AUCUAUAGCCAUACCACCCUGAACACACUAAAUCUGGUCUGAUCACAGAAGCUAAGUAGGGUCAGGCCUGGUUAGUACCUGGAUAGGAGAAACCUACACAUUUAUAUCUACAAUCACCAUUUUGCCAUAGAUU
rnacentral:rRNA from 1 species